rnacentral:rRNA from 1 species
CGCGUGAGGAACCUGCCUUUCAGAGGGGGACAACAGUUGGAAACGACUGCUAAUACCGCAUAACGCAUGGGUAUCGCAUGGUAUCUGUGCCAAAGAUUUAUCGCUGAGAGAUGGCCUCGCGUCUGAUUAGCUAGUUGGUGAGGUAACGGCCCACCAAGGCGACGAUCAGUAGCCGGACUGAGAGGUUGGCCGGCCACAUUGGGACUGAGAUACGGCCCAGACUCCUACGGGAGGCAGCAG